AGUGAACGCUGGCGGUAGGCCUAACACAUGCAAGUCGAACGGCAGCACAGUAAGAGCUUGCUCUUACGGGUGGCGAGUGGCGGACGGGUGAGGAAUACAUCGGAAUCUACUUUUUCGUGGGGGAUAACGUAGGGAAACUUACGCUAAUACCGCAUACGACCUACGGUUGAAAGCAGGGGAUCUUCGGACCUUGCGCGAUUGAAUGAGCCGAUGUCGGAUUAGCUAGUUGGCGGGGUAAAGGCCCACCAAGGCGACGAUCCGUAGCUGGUCUGAGAGGAUGAUCAGCCACACUGGAACUGAGACACGGCCCAGACUCCUACGGGAGGCAGCAGUGGGGAAUAUGAGACAAUGGGCGCAAGCCUGCUCCAGCCAUACCGCGUGGGUGAAGAAGGCCUUCGGGUUGUAAAGCCCUUUUGUUGGGAAAGAAAAGCAGCAGGUUAAUACCCCGCUGUUCUGACGGUACCCAAAGAAUAAGCACCGGCUAACUUCGUG
rnacentral:rRNA from 1 species